UAGUCAUAUGCUUGUCUCAAAGAUUAAGCCAUGCAUGUGUAAGUACAAGCCUUAUUAAGGUGAGACCGCGAAUGGCUCAUUAAAUCACACCUAAUAUACUGGAUAAUGUCUUUACUCGGAUAACUGAGGUAAUUCUUGAGCUAAUACGUGCGAAAAAGCCCUGAACGAGCUAUCUAUAUGCGAUUCUGUUGCGUAUAGGGUGAGUGAAGGGCGCUUUUAUUAGAUCAAAACCAAGAGGCUUUAUUGCCUUUUACCCUUUUGGUGAAUCUGAAUAACUUUGUGCUAAUCGCAUGGGUCUACCCCGGCGAUGUAUCCAUCUAAGGUGUGCCCUAUCAACUGUCGACUGUGGCAUAGACGCCCACAGUGGUUUUGACGGGUAACGGGGAAUUAGGGUUCGAUUCCGGAGAGGGAGCCUGAGAAACGGCUACCACUUCUAAGGAAGGCAGCAGGCACGCAAAUUACCCACUGGUCGAAGACCGAGGUAGUGACGAAAAAUAACGAUGCCGGACUCUUCCGAGGCCCGGUAAUCGGAAUGAGUACACUUUAAAUCCUUUAACGAGGAACAAAUAGAGGGCAAGUCUGGUGCCAGCAGCCGCGGUAAUUCCAGCUCUAUAGGCGUAUACCAAUAUUGUUGCGGUUAAAAAGCUCGUAGUUGGAUCUCAAAGCAAGCGGGGAGCGGUCCGAUAAACGUCGGUUACUGCUCUCUCAAUUUUGUUAGCUUGUGUGUUAUUGUGACGGAGGCUUCUAAGUGCUCUUCACCGGGUGUUUGGAGGUGCCGUCGGUUUUACUUUGAAAAAAUUAGAGUGCUCAAAGCAAGCUUGAAUACGCUUGAAUAUUGUGUGCAUGGAAUAAUAGAAUAGGAAGUCGUUUCUAUUUUAUUGGUUUUCGGAAAUUGACUUAAUGAUUAAUAGGGAUGGUCGGGGGCAUUAGUAUUCAGGCGACAGAGGUGAAAUUCUUAGACCGUCUGAAGACUAACUACUGCGAAAGCAUUUGCCAAGAAUGUUUUCAUUAAUCAAGAACGAAAGUUAGAGGUUCGAAGGCGAUCAGAUACCGCCCUAGUUCUAACCAUAAACGAUGCCAGCUAGCGAUCCGCGGAACUUUUAUUUUUUGAGUCCGCGGGAAGCUUCCGGGAAACCAUAAGCUUUUGGGUUCCGGGGGAAGUAUGGUUGCAAAGCUGAAACUUAAAGGAAUUGACGGAAGGGCACCACCAGGUGUGGAGCCUGCGGCUUAAUUUGACUCAACACGGGAAAUCUCACCAGGCCCGGACACUGGAAGGAUUGACAGAUUGAGAGCUCUUUCUCGAUUCGGUGGGUGGUGGUGCAUGGCCGUUCUUAGUUGGUGGAGUGAUUUGUCUGGUUAAUUCCGAUAACGAACGAGACUCUUUCCUGCUAAAUAGUUUAGUUUGCGUUCCUUUUCUGGGCACGCCUAAUUAUUCUUCUUAGAGGGACUGGCGUCGUUUAGACGCAUGAGAUGGAGCAAUAACAGGUCUGUGAUGCCCUUAGAUGUUCUGGGCUGCACGCGCGCUACACUGAAAGGAUCAACGCGCAAUCCCCUUGUCCGAGAGGACUAGGUAACCGCUUGAACCCCUUUCGUGGUAGGGAUCGGGGCUUGCAAUUAUUCCCCGUGAACCAGGAAUACCCAGUAAGCGCGAGUCAUAAGCUUGCGUUGAUUACGUCCCUGCCCUUUGUACACACCGCCCGUCGCUACUACCGAUUGAACGUUUUAGUGAGGUAUUCGGAUUGGCUUUUUUGAGGGAGAGAAAUCUUCUUUGAAAUGAUCGAAAAGAUUCCCAAACUUGAGCGUUUAGAGGAAGUAAAAGUCGUAACAAGGUUUCC
rnacentral:rRNA from 1 species